GGUGCCGUAGCCUAGUGGUUAAGGUUAAGGCGAUAGACUAGAAAUCUUUUGGGAUAUUCCCGCGCAGGUUCGAAUCCUGCCGACGACG
rnacentral:tRNA from 1 species